UGGGGAAUAUUGCACAAUGGGGGAAACCCUGAUGCAGCGACGCCGCGUGAGUGAAGAAGUAUUUCGGUAUGUAAAGCUCUAUCAGCAGGGAAGAUAAUGACGGUACCUGACUAAGAAGCCCCGGCUAACUACGUGCCAGCAGCCGCGGUAAUACGUAGGGGGCAAGCGUUAUCCGGAUUUACUGGGUGUAAAGGGUGCGUAGGUGGCAGGGCAAGUCAGAUGUGAAAGCCCGGGGCUCAACCCCGGUACUGCAUUUGAAACUGUCCAGCUGGAGUGCAGGAGAGGUAAGCGGAAUUCCUAGUG
rnacentral:rRNA from 1 species